GCGGAUGUAGUUGAAUGGUAGAGCUCCAGCCUUCCAAGCUGGUGUGAGUCCGAUUUUCAUCAUCCGUUCCA
rnacentral:tRNA from 1 species